rnacentral:rRNA from 1 species
UACGGGGGGGGCAAGCGUUGUUCGGAAUUACUGGGCGUAAAGGGCUUGUAGGUGGCCAACUAAGUCAGACGUGAAAUCCCUCGGCUUAACCGGGGAACUGCGUCUGAUACUGGAUGGCUUGAGUGUGGGAGAGGGAUGCGGAAUUCCAGGUGUAGCGGUGAAAUGCGUAGAUAUCUGGAGGAACACCGGUGGCGAAGGCGGCAUCCUGGACCAUUACUGACGCUGAGUGAGCGAAAGCCAGGGGAGCAAACGGG